AUUGAACGCUGGCGGCAGGCCUAACACAUGCAAGUCGAACGAGUGGCGGACGGGUGAGUAAUGUAUGGGAAACUGCCUGAUGGAGGGGGAUAACUACUGGAACAGGUAGCUAAUACCGAAUACCCUCGGAUGUGCCCAGAUGGGAUUAGCUUGGUGGUGGGGUAACGGCUCACCACGGCGACGAUCCCUAGCUGGUCUGAGAGGAUGGCCAGCCACACUGGACCUGAGACACGGCCCAGACUCCUACGGGAGGCAGCAGUGGGGAACAUUGCACAAUGGGAGCAAGCCUGAUGCAGCCAUGCCGCGUGUAUGAAGAAGGCCUUCGGUUUGUAAAGUACUUUCAGCGGGGAGGCGUUACCCGCAGAAGAAGCACCGGCUAACUCCGUGCCAGCAGCCGCGGUAAUUC
rnacentral:rRNA from 1 species